rnacentral:rRNA from 1 species
UACGGAGGAUGCGAGCGUUAUCCGGAUUUAUUGGGUUUAAAGGGUGCGUAGGCGGGUUAUCAAGUCAGCGGUAAAAUCGUGGAGCUCAACUCCAUCCAGCCGUUGAAACUGGGGAUCUAGAGUGUGCGAGAGGUAUGCGGAAUGCGUGGUGUAGCGGUGAAAUGCAUAGAUAUCACGCAGAACCCCGAUUGCGAAGGCAGCUUACCAAGCUACUUCUGACGUUGAGGCACGAAAGCAUGGGUAGCGAACAGG